rnacentral:rRNA from 1 species
AUUGAACGCUGGCGGCAGGCCUAACACAUGCAAGUCGAGCGGAUGAAGGGAGCUUGCUCCUGGAUUCCGCGGCGGACGGGUGUGUAAUGCCUAGGAAUCUGCCUGGUAGUGGUGUAUAAUGUCCGGAAACGGGCGCUAAUACUGCAUACGUCCUGAGGCUGAAAGUUGGGGAUCUUCGGACCUUACGCUCUCAUAUGAGUCUAGGUCGGAUUAGCUAGUUGGUGGGGUAAAGGCCUACCAAGGCGACGAUUCGUAACUGGUCUGAGAGGAUGAUCAGUCACACUGGAACUGGAACGCGGUCCAUGGGCCUGCGGGAGGCAGCAGAGGGGAAUAGUGGGCAGUGGGGGAAAGCCUGAUCCAGCCAUGCCGAGUGUGUGAAGAAGGUGUUCGGAGUGUAAAGCACUUUAAGUUGGGAGGAAGGGCAGUAAGUUAAGACCUUGCUGUUUUGACGUUACCAACAGAAUAAGCACCGGCUAACUUCGUG